rnacentral:rRNA from 1 species
UACGUAGGGAGCAAGCGUUGUCCGGAAUCAUUGGGCGUAAAGCGCGCGUAGGCGGCCCUGUCAGUCCGUUGUGAAAGUCAAAGGCUCAACCUUUGAAAGCCGAUGGAUACUGCAGGGCUAGAGUCCGGAAGAGGCGAGUGGAAUUCCUGGUGUAGCGGUGGAAUGCGCAGAUAUCAGGAGGAACACCAAUGGCGAAGGCAGCUCGCUGGGACGGUACUGACGCUGAGGCGCGAAAGCGUGGGGAGCAAACAGG